rnacentral:rRNA from 1 species
GGCGAGUGGCGAACGGGUGAGUAAUAUAUCGGAACGUACCCAGAAGUGGGGGAUAACGUAGCGAAAGUUACGCUAAUACCGCAUACGAUCUACGGAUGAAAGUAGGGGACCGCAAGGCCUUAUGCUUUUGGAGCGGCCGAUAUCUGAUUAGCUAGUUGGUGAGGUAAAGGCUCACCAAGGCGACGAUCAGUAGCUGGUCUGAGAGGACGACCAGCCACACUGGAACUGAGACACGGUCCAGACUCCUACGGGAGGCAGCAGUGGGGAAUUUUGGACAAUGGGGGCAACCCUGAUCCAGCAAUGCCGCGUGAGUGAAGAAGGCCUUCGGGUUGUAAAGCUCUUUUGUCAGGGAAGAAACGGCUGUGGCUAAUAUCCACGGCUAAUGACGGUACCUGAAGAAUAAGCACCGGCUAACUACGUGCCAGCAGCCGCGGUAAUACGUAGGGUGCAAGCGUUAAUCGGAAUUACUGGGCGUAAAGCGUGCGCAGGCGGUUUCGUAAGUCUGAUGUGAAAUCCCCGGGCUUAACCUGGGAAUUGCAUUGGAGACUGCGAGGCUAGAAUCUGGCAGAGGGGGGUAGAAUUCCACGUGUAGCAGUGAAAUGCGUAGAGAUGUGGAGGAACACCGAUGGCGAAGGCAGCCCCCUGGGUCAAGAUUGACGCUCAUGCACGAAAGCGUGGGGAGCAAACAGGAUUAGAUACCCUGGUAGUCCACGCCCUAAACGAUGUCUACUAGUUGUCGGGUUUUAAUUAACUUGGUAACGCAGCUAACGCGUGAAGUAGACCGCCUGGGGAGUACGGUCGCAAGAUUAAAACUCAAAGGAAUUGACGGGGACCCGCACAAGCGGUGGAUGAUGUGGAUUAAUUCGAUGCAACGCGAAAAACCUUACCUACCCUUGACAUGUCAGGAAGUCCGGAGAGAUCUGGAUGUGCCCGAAAGGGAACCUGAACACAGGUGCUGCAUGGCUGUCGUCAGCUCGUGUCGUGAGAUGUUGGGUUAAGUCCCGCAACGAGCGCAACCCUUGUCAUUAGUUGCUACGAAAGAGCACUCUAAUGAGACUGCCGGUGACAAACCGGAGGAAGGUGGGGAUGACGUCAAGUCCUCAUGGCCCUUAUGGGUAGGGCUUCACACGUCAUACAAUGGUACAUACAGAGGGCCGCCAACCCGCGAGGGGGAGCUAAUCCCAGAAAGUGUAUCGUAGUCCGGAUCGUAGUCUGCAACUCGACUACGUGAAGUUGGAAUCGCUAGUAAUCGCGGAUCAGCAUGCCGCGGUGAAUACGUUCCCGGGUCUUGUACACACCGCCCGUCACACCAUGGGAGCGGGUUUUACCAGAAGUAGGUAGCUUAACC